rnacentral:rRNA from 1 species
UACGGAGGGUGCAAGCGUUAAUCGGAAUUACUGGGCGUAAAGCGUGCGCAGGCGGUUUGUUAAGUCCGUUGUGAAAGCCCCGAGCUCAACUUGGGAAUUGCAGUGGAUACUGGCAGGCUGGAGUACGGUAGAGGAAGGUGGAAUUCCCGGUGUAGCGGUGAAAUGCGCAGAUAUCGGGAGGAACACCAGUGGCGAAGGCGGCACUCUGGGCCGGUACUGACGCUGAGGAGCGAAAGCGUGGGGAGCGAACAGG